GAUUGAACGCUGGCGGUAUGCUUAACACAUGCAAGUCGAACGGAAACGAUACUAGCUUGCUAGUAGGCGUCGAGUGGCGGACGGGUGAGUAACGCGUAGGAAUCUGCCUGAUAGUGGGGGAUAGCCCGAAGAAAUUCGGAUUAAUACCGCAUAAUCUAUUCGUAGUAAAGUGGGGGACUUUCGAGCCUCACGCUAUCAGAUGAGCCUGCGUAAGAUUAGCUUGUUGGUAGGGUAAAAGCCUACCAAGGCGACGAUCUUUAGCUGGUCUGAGAGGAUGAUCAGCCACAUCGGGACUGAGACACGGCCCGAACUCCUACGGGAGGCAGCAGUGGGGAAUAUUGGACAAUGGGGGCAACCCUGAUCCAGCAAUACCGCGUGUGUGAAGAAGGCCUGAGGGUUGUAAAGCACUUUCAAUUGUGAAGAAAAGUUAGCGGUUAAUAACCGUUAGCCUUGACGUUAACUUUAGAAGAAGCACCGGCUAACUCCGUGCCAGCAGCCGCGGUAAUACGGAGGGUGCAAGCGUUAAUCGGAAUUACUGGGCGUAAAGCGUGCGUAGGCGGUUUAUUAAGUCAGAUGUGAAAGCCCCGGGCUUAACCUGGGAACUGCAUUUGAAACUGGUCAACUAGAGUAUGGUAGAGGAAAGUGGAAUUUCUGGUGUAGCGGUGAAAUGCGUAGAUAUCAGAAGGAACAUCAAUGGCGAAGGCAGCUUUCUGGACCAAUACUGACGCUGAGGUACGAAAGCGUGGGUAGCAAACAGGAUUAGAUACCCUGGUAGUCCACGCCGUAAACGAUGAUAACUAGCCGUUGGGGGGAUUUACCCUUUAGUGGCGAAGCUAACGCGUUAAGUUAUCCGCCUGGGGAGUACGGCCGCAAGGUUAAAACUCAAAGGAAUUGACGGGGACCCGCACAAGCGGUGGAGCAUGUGGUUUAAUUCGAUGCAACGCGAAGAACCUUACCUGGUCUUGACAUCCUGCGAACUUUCUAGAAAUAGAUUGGUGCCUUCGGGAACGCAGUGACAGGUGCUGCAUGGCUGUCGUCAGCUCGUGUCGUGAGAUGUUGGGUUAAGUCCCGUAACGAGCGCAACCCCUAUCCUUAUUUGCCAGCACAUCAUGGUGGGAACUAUAAGGAGACUGCCGGUGAUAAACCGGAGGAAGGCGGGGACGACGUCAAGUCAUCAUGGCCCUUACGACCAGGGCUACACACGUGCUACAAUGGGAAGGACAAAGAGCCGCGAAGCCGCGAGGUGUAGCUAAUCUCAUAAACCUUUUCGUAGUCCGGAUUGGAGUCUGCAACUCGACUCCAUGGAGUCGGAAUCGCUAGUAAUCGUAGAUCAGAAUGCUACGGUGAAUACGUUCCCGGGUCUUGUACUCACCGCCC
rnacentral:rRNA from 1 species